UGGGGAAUUUUGGACAAUGGGCGCAAGCCUGAUCCAGCCAUGCCGCGUGCGGGAAGAAGGCCUUCGGGUUGUAAACCGCUUUUGUCAGGGGAGAAAUCUUCUGAGUUAAUACCUCGGGAGGAUGACGGUACCUGAAGAAUAAGCACCGGCUAACUACGUGCCAGCAGCCGCGGUAAUACGUAGGGUGCAAGCGUUAAUCGGAAUUACUGGGCGUAAAGCGUGCGCAGGCGGUUUUGUAAGACAGAGGUGAAAUCCCCGGGCUCAACCUGGGAACUGCCUUUGUGACUGCAAGGCUUGAGUGCGGCAGAGGGGGAUGGAAUUCCGCGUGUAGCAGUGAAAUGCGUAGAUAUGCGGAGGAACACCGAUGGCGAAGGCAAUCCCCUGGGCCUGCACUGACGCUCAUGCACGAAAGCGUGGGGAGCAAACAGGAUUAGAUAGCCCUGGUAGUCCACGCCCUAAAACGAUGUCAACUGGUUGUUGGGAAGGUUCCUUCUCAGUAACGUAGCUAACGCGUGAAGUUG
rnacentral:rRNA from 1 species